rnacentral:rRNA from 1 species
CCUACGGGUGGCAGCAGUGAGGAAUAUUGGUCAAUGGACGAGAGUCUGAACCAGCCAAGUAGCGUGAAGGAUGACUGCCCUAUGGGUUGUAAACUUCUUUUAUAUGGGAAUAAAAUGUUCCACGUGUGGGAUUUUGUAUGUACCAUAUGAAUAAGGAUCGGCUAACUCCGUGCCAGCAGCCGCGGUAAUACGGAGGAUCCGAGCGUUAUCCGGAUUUAUUGGGUUUAAAGGGAGCGUAGGUGGAUUGUUAAGCCAGUUGUGAAAGUUUGUGGCUCAACCGUAAAAUUGCAGUUGAAACUGGCAGGCUUGAGUACAGUAGAGGUGGGCGGGAUUCGUGGUGUAGCGGUGAAAUGCUUAGAUAUGACGAAGAACUCCGAUUGCGAAGGCAGCUCACUGGACUGGAACUGACACUGAGGCUCGAAAGUGUGGGUAUCAAACAGGAUUAGAUACCCUAGUAGUC